rnacentral:rRNA from 1 species
UACGUAGGGUGCGAGCGUUGUCCGGAAUUAUUGGGCGUAAAGAGCUCGUAGGCGGUUUGUCACGUCUGCUGUGAAAUCCCGAGGCUCAACCUCGGGCCUGCAGUGGGUACGGGCAGACUAGAGUGCGGUAGGGGAGACUGGAAUUCCUGGUGUAGCGGUGAAAUGCGCAGAUAUCAGGAGGAACACCGGUGGCGAAGGCGGGUCUCUGGGCCGUAACUGACGCUGAGGAGCGAAAGCGUGGGGAGCAAACAGG